CGCGUGGGUGAAGAAGGCCUUCGGGUUGUAAAGCCCUUUUGUUGGGAAAGAAAUCCAGCNGGCUAAUACCNGGUUGGGAUGACGGUACCCAAAGAAUAAGCACCGGCUAACUUCGUGCCAGCAGCCGCGGUAAUACGAAGGGUGCAAGCGUUACUCGGAAUUACUGGGCGUAAAGCGUGCGUAGGUGGUCGUUUAAGUCCGUUGUGAAAGCCCUGGGCUCAACCUGGGAACUGCAGUGGAUACUGGGCGACUAGAGUGUGGUAGAGGGUAGCGGAAUUCCUGGUGUAGCAGUGAAAUGCGUAGAGAUCAGGAGGAACAUCCAUGGCGAAGGCAGCUACCUGGACCAACACUGACACUGAGGCACGAAAGCGUGGGGAGCAAACAGGAUUAGAUACCCUGGUAGUCCACGCCCUAAACGAUGCGAACUGGAUGUUGGGUGCAAUUUGGCACGCAGUAUCGAAGCUAACGCGUUAAGUUCGCCGCCUGGGGAGUACGGUCGC
rnacentral:rRNA from 1 species